rnacentral:pre_miRNA from 1 species
UGCAUUCAUUCUAAUAAUUUGCUUCUUACUUGAUGGUAAGAGACAGAUUUUUGUUUAAUACUGUCAGGUAAGAAUACUGACUAUUAGAAUUAUCUUCG